rnacentral:rRNA from 1 species
GACGGCGCGAGCAGGUGCGAAAGCAGGUCAUAGUGAUCCGGUGGUUCUGAAUGGAAGGGCCAUCGCUCAACGGAUAAAAGGUACUCCGGGGAUAACAGGCUGAUACCGCCCAAGAGUUCAUAUCGACGGCGGUGUUUGGCACCUCGAUGUCGGCUCAUCACAUCCUGGGGCUGAAGUAGGUCCCAAGGGUAUGGCUGUUCGCCAUUUAAAGUGGUACGCGAGCUGGGUUUAGAACGUCGUGAGACAGUUCGGUCCCUAUCUGCCGUGGGCGCUGGAGAACUGAGGGGGGCUGCUCCUAGUACGAGAGGACCGGAGUGGACGCAUCACUGGUGUUCGGGUUGUCAUGCCAAUGGCACUGCCCGGUAGCUAAAUGCGGAAGAGAUAAGUGCUGAAAGCAUCUAAGCACGAAACUUGCCCCGAGAUGAGUUCUCCCUGACCCUUUAAGGGUCCUGAAGGAACGUUGAAGACGACGACGUUGAUAGGCCGGGUGUGUAAGCGCAGCGAUGCGUUGAGCUAACCGGUACUAAUGAACCGUGAGGCUUAACCUUACAAC